rnacentral:rRNA from 1 species
AUACGGAGGGUGCAAGCGUUACUCGGAAUCACUGGGCGUAAAGGACGCGUAGGCGGGUUGUCAAGUCAGAUGUGAAAUCCUACAGCUCAACUGUAGAACUGCAUUUGAAACUGGCAACCUAGAGUAUGGGAGGGGGAGAUGGAAUUAGUGGUGUAGGGGUAAAAUCCGUAGAUAUCACUAGGAAUACCGAAAGCGAAGGCGAUCUCCUGGAACAUUACUGACGCUGAGGCGUGAAAGCGUGGGGAGCAAACGGGAUUAGAAACCCUUGUAGUCC